GUGAAGAGACACGAGAGGUGUAGAAUAAGUGGGAGGCCCCCCGGGCCGCCGGUGAAAUACCACUACUCUUAUCGUUUUUUCACUUACCCGGUGAGGCGGGGGGCGAGCCCCGAGGGGCUCUCGCUUCUGGCUCCAAGCGCCCAGCGCGUGCUGGGCGCGACCCGCUCCGGGGACA
rnacentral:ncRNA from 1 species